AUGAAUCUUCCUCACUACUAGACUCAAAAGAAUCUGAAUUGCUAGCUUGUUUUUCUUUCUUUGCAAGUAAAGAUCCAUAUUUGGCAAAGGCAGGUUGUUUCUUUAGGGGACAAGUUCCUGAACCAAAAAAAGAAAAGAAAAGAAAAGAUAUAGCAUUAAAAAGUCAAAGCAGAUACAUUAUAUCGAACCAUUACCAUGCUAGAAAAGGAUGAUGAUUUCAUUAUAUUGAACCAUUACCAUGCUCUUCCAAG
rnacentral:lncRNA from 1 species